UACGUAGGGGGCUAGCGUUGUCCGGAAUCAUUGGGCGUAAAGAGCGUGUAGGCGGCUCGGUAAGUCCGCUGUGAAAGUCCAGGGCUCAACCCUGGAAUGCCAGUGGAAACUGUCGAGCUAGAGUCCGGAAGAGGCGAGUGGAAUUCCUGGUGUAGCGGUGAAAUGCGCAGAUAUCAGGAGGAACACCAAUGGCGAAGGCGGUUAGCUGGGCAGUUGCUGACACUGAGGCGCGAAAGCGUGGGGAGCGAACAGG
rnacentral:rRNA from 1 species